GGUCCAUGGGGUUGCAAAGGGUCAGACGUGACUGAGCAACUAACACUUUCCCCUUCUUUCCAGGAGGCUCUGGGGCAGGUAAGUAUCCUGAGAUGCAUGUCUUAAGCCAGUGCCCCUGCCUCUCCCUUCCCGGCCUCCAGGAAGCCUGGUUCAGAACCAUGGCCUGGCUGGUGCCAACCCUCAAGUUUCUAUUGCUGAAGGGAAAAAACCCUUCGGGCUUCCAAGCAGCUUUCAUCAGCCUCAGGCCUCUACUGUGAUCCUGGCCCAGGGAGGAAGAUGGCCUCAUUCAACCCUGCCCAGCCUCCCAGGGGGCCUGGGUGCAAGCAGAUGGUGGGUGUGGGCUGGACGAUGAGGCCAGCCCCCCACCCCACCCUCCCCUUACCCCCUCAUUAGUGCCGGAGGCCUCCGUGGUGCUCUGGGGCCAGAGAGCCACAGGGAGGCGGAUGAGGGCUUGCGGUAAAUGGGGGGUGGGUGUGACAGUGUGUGUGAGGGGAUUUUAUCUCUGUGCUUCGGGCCACCCUUCCAGCAGGGCUGGCCUCCUGCUUCCCCUCUCUGUUGCCUCCCCUCGAGCCGCCCAGGAUGGAGGUACUCAGACUGAGCUCGCCGAGGGCCAGGGAAACUGGAAACGACCACCGGGAGCUUUGGUAACAGCAUCGACACCUGGCCGUCCAGUCUCUGAGGCCUCCCAGGGUUGAGUUGAGGGGGCGGGAUUGUGGAAAUGGCCCUAAAUCAGAGGCUGAAGUGGCGAGGCAGCCCCCUGUCCGGUUUAGUUUCCUCAGCCAUCUAAUGUGAAAGUACACCAGGGGAUCUCGAACGUUCCUCAGCACUGACCGGCCUUGGGCCCGAGACAGUGGUUCUUUCUCACUGCAGUUUACAAUAUUCCCAGAGAGGUUUUUAAUGUCCUGUCGCCAGGCUACACCCUGAGCAGCUGCAUCCCCAUCUCAGGAGGUGGACCAGAGCAUCAGGGCUUUUUAAAGCUCCCAGAGAAGGGACGUCCCAGGUGGUCCAGUGGUUAGGACUCCAUGCUUCCACUACAGGGUCAUUGGUUCAAUCCCUGGUCAGGGAACUAAGAUCCCACAAGCCACGUGGUGCGACCAAAACCAAAAAUAAAUGCUCCCAGCGGGUUCUGCUGUGAGAUCAGGUUUGAGAACAGGCUGUCUCUGGGCCUUUGCUCAGUGAACCAGCCUGUGAUCAGGGCAUGGAGAGCAAGGAGGCCUUUCUAAAAAGCAAGCACAGCGAGGCUGGACCCUUCCUUCAUGCUGUGUUUAUAAUAUCGGGUUAGAGGAGGGGAGAGGGGAGUGGGACUGUGUGGUGUGAGUGCAUAGGCACGCUUGCACACACAUACACACGCACACACACACACCCUCAGAAUGGGCCCUGAUUACAUCUUCCCGAAUAAGUGGUUAUCACGCCGGUUAUUCAUGUAACCAUGCAUUAUUGAUCGGCCUUCGCCUCGGUGCACACCAGAUGGGGUAGGAGGCGGUGCGGAUGGGGCUGGGGUGGGUGAGGGUGGUGGGCGAUGAGCGGGGGAGGCUUGGGGGCAGCGGGCUGAAUAGAAAUCAACAGUCCUUUUUCGCAGCUGUGGCUCCCGACGGGAGGGGACCUCUCGUUACCUCCCCAUUCAGACCCGGCCCAGAGCUGGGGGGCCAGGCGGGGAGAAAGUCUCGAGCAGCCGGAGCCUGGAGCCUGGAGAUGCAUUAUUCAUCCACCGCCCCUCCUCCCAGGAUUGGUUAUUAUCCUGAGCCACUGUAGAGCUUGGUCUCCUAAUUUUUAAUCACAGGGAAGGUGGAAGCGUUAGCCUUUUGUGAUUAAUCCGGAGAUAAAAAUAGUUGACUGUUGUGGUGUUGAGCUUGUUGUCAGUCAGGAAAAACUCAUUAACUGUUGGGUGACUGAGGCCUGAGAGGACCUGAUGGAACUCAGGCCAAGCUGGUGCCCAGAGCUGGAAAUCAGCCCCGGGGGUCACACCGUGCCUGGGACGGGGGCUGGCUCCCGGGCGCUGCUUACGAAAUGGACACAUCGUAUGAAUUUCGCAGUCCUGGGCUGGCUCUUUGCCAUUUAUUCACCUGUCUUCCAGGAUUCUGGCAGGCGGCUGGGGGCCUUCCUCCUUCCUCUGCCCCUCUCUGGCCACCCGCCCUGUGGGUGGUACUGGUUGCAUCUCCCUGUGUGGGAGGGAGCCCCCGAGGACCUUCUCCCAGCUGUGCUGCCCAGGACAAGGGGGGACUUGAGCAGAGAGGCCAGAGGGCACAUGCAUGACUGGUUGCUCAGUCGUGUCCGACUCUGCGACCCCGUGGACUGUACCCCUCCGGGAUCCUCUGUCCAUGGGAUUCUCCAGGCAAGAAUACUAGAGUGGGUUUUCAUGCCUUCCUCCAGGGGAUCUUCCUGACCCAGGGAUGGAACCCACAUUUCUUGCAUCUCCUGCAUUGGCAGGCGGGUUCUUUACUACUAGCGACUCCUGGGAAGCCUGUCCUGCUCACUAAACACCGGAUUUAAAGAUAAUGUGUUGAUUCAGGUUUUUCUAUAACAUCGUAUGAAAAUCUCAAACGAACUUUCUGACCAGCGCGUAGACCCCCGCAUGAAUGUGUUACCUAGCAAGUUCCUUCGCACAGCAGUUCUUUAACUUGAGAUGCUGGAGUUCCUUCUUUUCCUGGAUCAGUCUUACUCAGCCCUUGCAAAUUUAGCUAAGGGGUUACUGAGUCCAUAGAGAAGAUCCCCUGGCGGGGGGGAUGGCAGACCCACUCCAGAAUUCUUGCCUGGAGAAUCCCAUGGACAGAGGAGGCUGGUGGGCUACAGUCCAUGGAGUUGCAGAGUCAGACAUGAAUGAGUAUGAUGCAUGGAGGGUCCAGUCCAUCUCUUUCUGCAUUUCCUGGUUGGACCAGGUGACUGUUGUCUAUGAUCCCAUAGCAUCCUGGAUAUCAUUCUCAGUAUCCCACCUCUUCUAUGGAAAUGAUCCAGAUGUGUUUGUCUCUCGCUAGACUGCAGCCUCCUUCAUCCUGGUCCUCGUCACCUGGCAGAGCACCUGCUGCUCCAGGGUGGUUUCAUGCACGUUUGCUGAGCAGAACCUGGCUCGAGGCCACUGCUUCAUAAGCGGUGCGAUGUGUGCACAGAGUUAUACAAGUUGACAACCUUCGCCCUCUUAUCUGGAAAGUGAGGCAAUCAAGAUACCUGCAGGUUGUUAUAGGAUUACUUUUAUGCUACAAAGAAUGAAGGUGUAGCUUGAUAGGGCUAGAUAAAUAUUGAGGAUCAGGUCCAGUUUUUGAAAACAAUAUUUAGUUUUGUUUCUGCAGAUGACACCGGGCCAAGGGCUCUCUUGUUUUAUUCUCGAAAUAAAACCAAGUAUCCUUCGGAACUGGAGAAGGGAAUGACAACCCACUUCCAGUAUUCUUGCCUGGGAAAUCCCAUGGACAUGGGGUCGCAAAGAGUCGGACACAACUGAACACACACACACACAUCAUUCUAAACAGCUGCUAUUCGGACUUCCACUUUAUAGAUUAGGAAACAGGGGCUCAGAGAGAGCAAAUGACUUUGCUAAAUAACACAGCAGGUAAAGGCUGGAAUUUAGAACCAAGUUUGUCUGACCCUAUGAUAUGUACACUCUACCAGCAUCAGAGCGGCACACAGACCUGCCCGUAAAACUGGAGUUCUGCUCAAACCUCCUGCCUGGGUCCUGGCUCUUUAUCUCAAUGCAUUCAGACCCCACAUUCCCGUCCCCCAGCCUGACUUCAGAGGGCUCGAUGGAGCACAGGCCUGGCUCCCGGUGUGUGCUGGAGAGACGUCCGCUAAGGGAGAGGAGGAAGGUUUCUGCCAUUCACAUCUCGCUUUGCUCACUUUUCCCAUUCUGCCCCGUUGUCAGGUUCUGGGCUUCUGCCCCGUUGUCAAGUUCUGGGCCCUGUGUGAUCCCCGCAUCCAGAGGCCUCGAGCACAUCGACGCGCCACCUGAUGGCCAGAGUGCGGAACCACAGACUGUAAAGACAGAUGCGCCGGUUUUUCAGAGUCAGCUUCUCAGGGCCAGCAGGCAUUCGAAAAAUCCACACUGAGUACCUACUGUGUACCUGGCCCUGUUUGAAGCAGCAGGGACGCAAAACUCCUGCCUAAGUGGAGUUUAUAUUCCAGUGGAAGAGUUAGACAGUAAAUGGAUAAAUACACAAUACAGUACGUCCCCUACGUAUGAACCUUCCAGUUUCGAACUUUCAAAGAUGUGAACGUGCAUCGGGAUCCAGCAAGGAACUGGAACCUGGGCCAUCGGGUGUGAUCACACUGCAGCCUGUCCUCCGUCUUCUGUUGCUGACGAUCCUUCAGCUCUACCAUCUCCCACCUCUUCUCCCUCCUCCAGCCAGUAACUCUUCUUGUCUGUUCACUCGAGGCCAGCCCCUGUGUGCUGGGGUGAUCUGCUACCCUGCCUGCUUGGCCCUCCCUCCUCUCCCGUCCCCUCAGACUCUGUGCCCACGAAAGUGAGGCCAUCACACUAGAAAGAUGCAAGGGCAUGUGUGUGCCCGCCUGACCCCGUGUGAUCAUCUCAACUGGGCAUGGCCAUAUCACUGACUCGUAGAAUCAUUACGUUUGCAAAGACUAACCGAUACGCUCAGCAGUAACCUACUGUCUGGGGAGUUCCUGAAAGACUGCCCAGAGCUCUGGGCUCCUGAAGUCACCCCAGCACUGGAUCCUCAGCAGCGAAUCUGUCUGCUCCACCCCAAUCCUUUCUACCUCCCUGAUGGACGGUGACUGGCUCCAUCUCUGCUUCUCAGUGUCCACUGCUUCCCGCUGCUCCAGGGUAAAACCCAGUUCCUCCUCAUAGAGCCCAGCCAAGGCUUUCUUCAGCUAGGCCUUCUCUCUUCAGCUUCCUCCCGUGCUUUCUCUGGACAGGUCCGUUCACCUGUCUGCAAGGAUACCCUGGCCUUUACAACUACAUGCUUGGUGAAGUUCCCUCUGCUGACAGUGUCUUCAUCCUGAGAUGUAACUGGCUGGGAUCCUGUCCUCUUUCCAGCCCAAAGGCCACCUUUGCCUGGGCCGGGUGCUGAUGACCCGCGUGAAGAGGAGUGCCUCGUCCCAGAGCUCAGUACCGCACAGGGACUCAGCCCCUGUUAGCUGCCCAUAGGAUCACUGUCUGCCCAGUAAGCCACUCCACGUGGACAGAGAGCAGCAGCUGACGUGAGGUCACUGCUUCAACCUCUUGUUCUGCUGCCUCUUUGUUCUGCACCCCAGCCUCGGCUCCCAAGACGGAGGUCAGCACCUCCCCGCAAAGCAACGACAGCACGGGGGGACGAGGAGAGCUGGCUGAAGCAGUGUGGAGAAGACGAGAAGACAGAGAAGUGAUGAAGACAGUUUGGUUUGGAACACAGGGCCAGACGGGCAGGACGAGAGGAUGAGAAGAGAUGAAGCCUGGUGAUGGGCAAGACACCCACUUGGGAAGCAAGAUAAAUGGGAGCAGAGAAAAAGAGAAAACACACUGUCCCUUGUCAUGGGGAAACCGUAAAGCCAAGUGGCAGCAUGCCAAGUGGGCAAAAAAGCACAAUGCUUUCUCUGGGCUUCUUGCCACCAAAAUUCAUUUCGGGGAAUCCCAGAAAACCACUAAACGUACCUUUCAACUUUA